GACCAGUGCUUCCGUCGGCUACUAUUACUUCCAUCGGCCUCCUUUUUUUCCAUUGUCAGGUAUGUAAUUACAUCAUUCUUUGUAUCGCAGUGCCUCUUCUAAGUCCUCUUUGUCCAAAUUUGAGGUAAUUCGUGAUGAGGCAUAAGGAAAUUGAAGCCAAUGCCUCAACACUUUGAAGCUAUUUUCUGAAUCUUUGAAACUAUUUUCUGAAUCUUUGAAGCUUUUUUUUUUUUUUGGGUGAAUGAAUCUUUGAAGCUAUCUAAUAUCUAUGUAUGUUUUUCUCGCAUAGCCCUAAAGUUGUUUGACAUCAAUCGGUUUAAGGUAAACAGAAGUUGCGGCUUUUAUUCUUGAACAGAGCUUCGAUUCUUCUUCUUCUUCAACAUAGCUUCGACUUGCAGCCCUAACAGGAUAAUAUGACAAUGGAUUUUGAUGAGAGGUACUUCCAUGGGAAACCACAAAAUAGCUUCCACAAAGCAGUGAAUAUCCCUGAUGUGGCAGUUUUUCCAAGGAAUGCAGAGGAAGUGUCCAAGAUAGUCAAAUCUUGUAACAAGUAUAAGGUUUGA